AUGGUUCUGGAGGACGAGAGCAGCGAUGACAACUCAAGCCUCCCAUACAUGUACUCUGAAACCUCCACCGAUGGGCUGAACCAGGAAGGUCACAAUUGUGGGUUUGUUCAGUGGGUUGAUGAGCAGUGGCCCCCAACAAUGGAGAAUGCAUUGUUGAAGCUUUGGUCAAUGGUUGAAGAGAGCAAGUGUGCUAGGGCGAAUGAUAAUCUUGAAAGUGCUUUAACUAUUCACCAGUUGACAAAAGAAAAGAACAAGCUGGAUGCAGACUAUGACAAGUUGGUGAAAGAUGUGCAUCAACUUGUGGAUAUGCAGGAGGAUAGGGUUGUGGAUUUCAGUUAUCUGCAGUCCAACAUCACAUAUCAACAGGAAUGCAGAGUUGAGUUGGUUGCUGGUAUGAAGGCAGAAAUGGCAAAGAAAGAUGCAGCUACAGAGAAGCUUUAA
rnacentral:rRNA from 1 species